GUGCUAGGGCUCCAAACGUACAAGCCAGCGGAAAGACGGGGGGAAAACACUUCCUUACUCAGUAGGAUACAAGCUUGUAAUAGAAAAUCGAAGCAACCCAGCAUAGCCAGGAAACACUUCACAACUGUUCGCGCAGAAAAGAGAGACAGCCCAGAUGGAAAGAGCCUGCAGCUGAAGCGAGGGCAGUGCCCCAUCGGGAAAGCUGAGCCUGCUGAUCUCAUCACUAAGGGCUACUAAUCCAAUGACCAGGGAAUUAAGAACAGAUGGUGACGCCCCUUCCCCCAACACCAGCAUUACCACACAGACGCCGAAACGCACACAAGCCGGAGCCUACCAACUGGUUGUGCCUGACUAGCAAGUUGAAACCUUUUCUUUCAGAUGCGAACUUCACUACUAUUAUCCAUACAUUUGUCACCUCAAGACCAGGUGAUGGACUAAGGAACCCUCAAAUACAGAAAAAAAGUCUUUGAAAUAAUACACAUCUUAAGGUUUAAAAGAAUUCUUCCUUGUGUGCUGGGACAAUAGAAAUUCAAAGGGGUCAGGACAUAUGGUCUUUUUGUGGAUUUUGCUGUAUUCUCUGGGAUCUAAGCUUUCUUUUUCUUCCCUUUUUUUAAAGUGACAUUCUUAACCCUACUGGUGGUGAUAGCCUUCCCAAUGUAAACUAAUGCAUUUUUUUCUACUGGAAUCUCCAGCCAGACAAUCUGAAACAAAAGCAGUAAGAAGUGUGAAUUUUUACUUUCAUCUGAACUGAGUGUUAAACUUUAAAGCCUAGACUGGACCACUUAAAUACCAAACUACUCCUCUGAAAGGAUGUUUCAGGGCAGCAGGGGUGCAAGUUCUGCACAUGCAAACAGUUGAAUAUUCUGCGGAUUGAGAGCUUGCUACUCUCUUUAAAAUCAGGGUUCAUGUAGUAAACUUCACUUUGUCAAUUAAAAUCAUUGGGGUUAGUAAUUUGACUUGCAUGAAUGUGAGUUUUCCAUAACAUUUGGUCCAGCUGCAUUUAAGGCUGUUCAGUUUUAAAUAAACUGAUAUUUUAAAAUAACUCUCUGUGUGUUUUGCAGUGAUACAUAUUUAGGAAAGCAGAGAUAAAUGAGAGAAAACAAACCUCAACACCCAAAA